AACACUGUAGCUCAGUUGAUAGAGCACCAGUUUCAUGACUGGAGGUCAAGGGUUCAAAUCCCUUCAGUGUUG
rnacentral:tRNA from 1 species